rnacentral:lncRNA from 1 species
CCUUCCUAAACUUCUUAUUUGCAUCACAUUCUUUUUAAAUGGCCAAAUCCAGCACUAUUCCGGCCACUGAACCUAUCACCGCUACCUCCACCGUCACCACCGGCGACCUUCUAGAGGUCGUACUGCAGGAUGCCCCUGCCGACACCACUCCUUCGAUCAUGCCUAGUCCGGUAGACGCCGAGGCUAGGAUUCGAAAUGCAUACUAUUCCUCGGAGGAGUUUUCUCACCUUCAUACUCCUUCCACCAUCACCCCUUCACAGAUUUCUGACAUCCGGU